UGGGGCAUUGUGUAAUGGCAGCACAGCAGUCUUUGGAACUGUUAGUCCAGGUUCGAAUCCUGGUGCCCCAGCCA
rnacentral:tRNA from 2 species